rnacentral:rRNA from 1 species
AGUGAACGCUGGCGGUAGGCCUAACACACGCAAGUCGAACGGCAGCACAGUAAGAGCUUGCUCUUACGGGUGGCGAGUGGCGGACGGGUGAGGAAUACAUCGGAAUCUACUUUUUCGUGGGGGAUAACGUAGGGAAACUUACGCUAAUACCGCAUACGACCUACGGGUGAAAGCAGGGGAUCUUCGGACCUUGCGCGAUUGAAUGAGCCGAUGUCGGAUUAGCUAGUUGGCGGGGUAAAGGCCCACCAAGGCGACGAUCCGUAGCUGGUCUGAGAGGAUGAUCAGCCACACUGGAACUGAGACACGGUCCAGACUCCUACGGGAGGCAGCAGUGGGGAAUAUUGGACAAAGGGCGCAAGCCUGAUCCAGCCAUACCGCGUGGGUGAAGAAGGCCUUCGGGUUGUAAAGCCCUUUUGUUGGGAAAGAAAAGCAGCAGGUUAAUACCCCGCUGUUCUGACGGUACCCAAAGAAUAAGCACCGGCUAACUUCGUG